AUUGAACGCUGGCGGCAGGCCUAACACAUGCAAGUCGAGCGGAUGAGGAAAGCUUGCUUUUCGAUUCAGCGGCGGACGGGUGAGUAAUGCCUAGGAAUCUGCCUGUUAGUGGGGGAUAACUCGGGGAAACUCGGGCUAAUACCGCAUACGUCCUACGGGAGAAAGUGGGGGAUCUUCGGACCUCACGCUAACAGAUGAGCCUAGGUCGGAUUAGCUAGUAGGUGAGGUAAUGGCUCACCUAGGCGACGAUCCGUAACUGGUCUGAGAGGAUGAUCAGUCACACUGGAACUGAGACACGGUCCAGACUCCGACGGGAGGCAGCAGUGGGGAAUAUUGGACAAUGGGCGAAAGCCUGAUCCAGCCAUGCCGCGUGUGUGAAGAAGGUCUUCGGAUUGUAAGGCACUUUAAGUUGGGAGGAAGGGUAUUCACCUAAUACGUGGGUACUUUGACGUUACCAACAGAAUAAGCACCGGCUAACUCUGUGCCAGCCGCCGCGGUAACAC
rnacentral:rRNA from 1 species